CAUACCUAUUCGAAGGGAUAGGGUCGGUUUGGCCGGAUUUCACACAGGUGUUGCAUGGCUGUCGUCAGCUCGUGUCGUGAGAUGUUGGGUUAAGUCCCGCAACGAGCGCAACCCUCAUCCUUAGUUACCAUCAGGUUAUGCUGGGGACUUUAAGGAAACUGCCAGUGAUAAACUGGAGGAAGGUGGGGAUGAUGUCAAGUCAUCAUGGCCCUUAUGGAGUGGGCUACACACGUGCUACAAUGGUGAUUACAAUGAGCUGCAAGGUCGCAAGGCUGAGCUAAUCCUAAAAAAUCAUCUCAGUUCGGAUUGUUCUCUGCAACUCGAGAGCAUGAAGUUGGAAUCGCUAGUAAUCGUGGAUCAGCAUGCCACGGUGAAUACGUUCUCGGGUCUUGUACACACUGCCCGUCACGCCAUGGGAAUUGGUUUCACUCGAAGCU
rnacentral:rRNA from 1 species